rnacentral:rRNA from 1 species
UCAAAUUUGAAAUCUGGCUUCGGCCCGAGUUGUAAUUUGUAGAGGAUGCUUUUGGUGCGGUGCCUUCUGAGUUCCCUGGAACGGGACGCCUUAGAGGGUGAGAGCCCCGUAAAGUUGGACACCAAGCCUAUGUAAAGCUCCUUCGACGAGUCGAGUAGUUUGGGAAUGCUGCUCAAAAUGGGAGGUAAAUUUCUUCUAAAGCUAAAUACCGGCCAGAGACCGAUAGCGCACAAGUAGAGUGAUCGAAAGAUGAAAAGCACUUUGAAAAGAGGGUUAAAAAGUACGUGAAAUUGUUGAAAGGGAAGCGCUUAUGACCAGACUUGUGCCCUGCGGAUCAUCCAGCCUUCUGGCUGGUGCACUUCGCUUGGUUCAGGCCAGCAUCGGUUCUCUGAGGGGGAUAAAAGCUUCAGGGACGUGGCUCCUUCGGGAGCGUUAUAACCUGUUGCAAAAUACC